AUUGAACGCUGGCGGCAGGCCUAACACAUGCAAGUCGAACGCUCCGCAAGGGGAGUGGCAGACGGGUGAGUAACACGUGGGAAUCUUCCUGUUGGUGCGGAAUAGCUCAGGGAAACUUGGGGUAAUACCGCAUAAGCCCGAGAGGGGAAAGAUUUAUCGCCGACAGAUGAGCCCGCGUCUGAUUAGCUAGUUGGUGAGGUAACGGCUCACCAAGGCGACGAUCAGUAGCUGGUCUGAGAGGAUGACCAGCCACACUGGGACUGAGACACGGCCCAGACUCCUACGGGAGGCAGCAGUGGGGAAUAUUGGACAAUGGGCGCAAGCCUGAUCCAGCCAUGCCGCGUGAGUGACGAAGGUCUUCGGAUUGUAAAGCUCUUUUGGCGGGGACGAUAAUGACGGUACCCGCAGAAUAAGCCCCGGCUAACUUCGUGCCAGCCGCCGCUGUAACAC
rnacentral:rRNA from 1 species